CAGUCGCCACGGUAAAACGUAGGUGGCAAGCGUUGUCCGGAAUUAUUGGGCGUAAAGGGCUCGCAGGCGGUUUCUUAAGUCUGAUGUGAAAGCCCCCGGCUCAACCGGGGAGGGUCAUUGGAAACUGGGAAACUUGAGUGCAGAAGAGGAGAGUGGAAUUCCACGUGUAGCGGUGAAAUGCGUAGAGAUGUGGAGGAACACCAGUGGCGAAGGCGACUCUCUGGUCUGUAACUGACGCUGAGGAGCGAAAGCGUGGGGAGCGGACAGGAUUAGAGACCCCAGUAGUCCCUGUCUCUUAUAC
rnacentral:rRNA from 1 species